rnacentral:rRNA from 1 species
GACGAACGCUGGCGGCGUGCUUAACACAUGCAAGUCGAACGGAAAGGCCCUGCUUUUGUGGGGUGCUCGAGUGGCGAACGGGUGAGUAACACGUGAGUAACCUGCCCUUGACUUUGGGAUAACUUCAGGAAGCUGGGGCUAAUACCGGAUAGGAGCUCCUGCUGCAUGGUGGGGGUUGGAAAGUUUCGGCGGUUGAGGAUGGACUCGCGGCUUAUCAGCUUGUUGGUGGGGUAGUGGCUUACCAAGGCUUUGACGGGUAGCCGGCCUGAGAGGGUGACCGGCCACAUUGGGACUGAGAUACGGCCCAGACUCCUACGGGAGGCAGCAGGGGGGAAUAUUGCACAAUGGGCGGAAGCCUGAUGCAGCAACGCCGCGUGCGGGAUGACGGCCUUCGGGUUGUAACCCGCUUUCGCCUGUGACGAAGCGUGAGUGACGGUAAUGGGUAAAGAAGCACCGGCUAACUACGUG